UGUCGAGUGAAACGAGGCUGCGAUCUUUUGAUUUUGAUCUUUUUUAAAACAAGAUCAAAAGAUCGCAGCCUCGUUUCACUCGACA
rnacentral:misc_RNA from 1 species